GGCAAUGGAAAGAAAAAUAGUCCAAGUGGGUCUCAAAAAUAAACGAAUUUAGCUCUGUCAAUCGCACUUGUCUCUUCAUGUCAUUCGCCGGUUUGCUCCUUCCACGACGGCGGACGAUCUGCUUUUCGACAUUACUGUCUUUUAAUUUUCUUUUAGUUGCCUAUUUUUCGUUGUUGUUGUCCAUUACGCCAUUAUUACUUUUACUAAACAAAUAAUAUUCAAAAAUAUAACAACUAAAAAGGCCAAUUGUUUUUAAUGACCCCUAAAUUUGAGAAAUUAGGAAACUGGCCAUUUGAACUUUGAAGCGCCUAGAAAUAAUGAGCUGCCUGGGAGGCAGAGCUACAUUACAC